AGCGGAGGAAAAGAAACUAACAAGGAUUCCCCUAGUAACGGCGAGUGAAGCGGGAAGAGCUCAAAUUUGAAAUCUGGCGUCCUCUGGGCGUCCGAGUUGUAAUCUGGAGAGGCGUUGUCCGCGACGGACCCCGUACAAGUCCUUUGGGAUGAGGCGUCAUAGAGGGUGAGAAUCCCGUAUAUGACGGGGACUACCGUUGCUUUGUGUCGCGCCCUCGAAGAGUCGAGUUGUUUGGGAAUGCAGCUCAAAAUGGGUGGUAAAUUCCAUCUAAAGCUAAAUACAGGCGAGAGACCGAUAGCGAACAAGUACCGUGAGGGAAAGAUGAAAAGAACUUUGGAAAGAGAGUUAAACAGUACGUGAAAUUGCUGAAAGGGAAACGCUUGAAGUCAGUCGUCUCGGCGAGGACUCAGCCUGACCUUGUGUUAGGUGUACUUCCUCUGUCGAGGGGUCAGCAUCAGUUUUGGGCGUCGAAGAAGGACCUGAGGAAUGUGGCACCUUCGGGUGUGUUAUAGCCUCGAGUCGGACGCGGCGCCUGGGACUGAGGACCG
rnacentral:rRNA from 1 species